GACGAACGCUGGCGGCGUGCUUAACACAUGCAAGUCGAACGGAAAGGCCCUGCUUUUGUGGGGUGCUCGAGUGGCGAACGGGUGAGUAACACGUGAGUAACCUGCCCUUGACUUUGGGAUAACUUCAGGAAACUGGGGCUAAUACCGGAUAGGAGCUCCUGCUGCAUGGUGGGGGUUGGAAAGUUUCGGCGGUUGGGGAUGGACUCGCGGCUUAUCAGCUUGUUGGUGGGGUAGUGGCUUACCAAGGCUUUGACGGGUAGCCGGCCUGAGAGGGUGACCGGCGGGAGUGGGAGAGAGAUGCGGGCAAGGAUCGUAGGGGGGGAGGUGUGGGAGAAUAGUGCGCAGGGGGCCGAGGGACGACGCGGCGGGGGGGCGGGGUGGUGUAUGGUCUUCAGGGGGACAAACGUGUGCGCGUGUGAGGAUGAGAGGGUGAGGGUGGGGGGAAAAGAGACAACGGCGAACGACGUGACAGCAGGGGCGGGGAAGAUUGGAAGAGCAAGGUCUGAAC
rnacentral:rRNA from 1 species